rnacentral:rRNA from 1 species
GAUGAACGCUGGCGGCGUGCUUAACACAUGCAAGUCGAACGAUGAAGCCCAGCUUGCUGGGUGGAUUAGUGGCGAACGGGUGAGUAACACGUGAGUAACCUGCCCUUGACUCUGGGAUAAGCGCUGGAAACGGCGUCUAAUACCGGAUACGAGCUUCCACCGCAUGGUGAGUUGCUGGAAAGAAUAUCGGUCAAGGAUGGACUCGCGGCCUAGCAGGUAUUUGGGGAGGGACCGGCUCACCAAGCCGACGACGGGUAGCCGGCCUGAGAGGGUGACCGGCCACAAUGGGACUGCGACACGGACCAGACUCCUACGGGAGGCAGCAGUGGGGAAUAUUGCACAAUGGGCGCAAGCCUGAUGCAGCAACGCCGCGUGAGGGACGAAGGCCUUCGGGUCGUAAACCUCUUUUAGCAGGGAAGAAGCGAAAGUGACGGUACCUGCAGAAAAAGCACCGGCUAACUACGUG